rnacentral:rRNA from 1 species
GACGAACGCUGGCGGCGUGCCUAAUACAUGCAGGUAGAACGCACAGUUUAUACCGUAGCUUGCUACACCAUAGACUGUGAGUUGCGAACGGGUGAGUAACGCGUAGGUAACCUGCCUGGUAGCGGGGGAUAACUAUUGGAAACGAUAGCUAAUACCGCAUAAUAUUAAUUAUUGCAUGAUAAUUAAUUGAAAGGUGCAAUUGCACCACUACCAGAUGGACCUGCGUUGUAUUAGCUAGUAGGUGAGGUAACGGCUCACCUAGGCGACGAUACGUAGCCGACCUGAGAGGGUGAUCGGCCACACUGGGACUGAGACACGGCCCAGACUCCUACGGGAGGCAGCAGUAGGGAAUCUUCGGCAAUGGACGAAAGUCUGACCGAGCAACGCCGCGUGAGUGAAGAAGGUUUUCGGAUCGUAAAGCUCUGUUGUAAGAGAAGAACGGGUGUGAGAGUGGAAAGUUCACACUGUGACGGUAUCUUACCAGAAAGGGACGGCUAACUACGUG